rnacentral:rRNA from 1 species
AACGUAGGACGCAAGCGUUAUCCGGAGUUACUGGGCGUAAAGGGCGCGUAGGCGGUCGUGACAAGUCACUUGUGAAAUCUCCGGGCUUAACUCGGAACGGUCAAGUGAUACUGUCGGACUAGAGUACAGAAGGGGCAACUGGAAUUCUCGGUGUAGCGGUGAAAUGCGUAGAUAUCGAGAGGAACACCUGCGGCGAAGGCGGGUUGCUGGGCUGAUACUGACGCUGAGGCGCGAAAGCCAGGGGAGCGAACGGG